GAUUCUCAAAUCCCUCCUGCUCUUUUGAGUAAGGUUCUGGGGUUUGGAUGUGGAGGUCAUCGCGGGCCUUUUGUCUGAUAAGGUCCGCUCCUCUGAAAUGCAUUAGUGGAACCAGAUUGCGAUUCUGUAAAUGGUUGUGAUAAAUGUCAACAUCAGUGGGGUCGCUCUCUGUCUAUGUUCUGCUUCUAACUGUUGUGUCUCCAUUGAGACCCAGAAAC
rnacentral:misc_RNA from 1 species